UGGGAGAACAUAAUUUCUCAUCAAUUUUUUGUUAUAGAUGCAAAAAUCAUCAGAGGGGGUCUUGCCAUGGCGAGGCAAUUAUACGAAAUAAAUAUAAUCAUCAGUGGAUCAUGGUGUUCAUCGGCCAGCAGCUAUCAAGAUGCUACGACCCGAGAGCCACCGAAAAAUUCCGGUAGUUUCCCGGACCCACUGGCUGUAGCCCCUCUGGAUGGACGACAGUUUGCAUGGAAGGUUAAUUGAAACCAUCGCGAUGGUACGAUGCAUCGUACCUAAUUGUUUUUGUCAUUACCGGCAUGUUGAUUCCGAAAAUAAAUAAUUCUAUAUUUUAUUA